AUGGCGGCGGCAGCCUGCCAGGUGCCGCUGGCUCUCGCAUUGCGGGAGCCACAGCGUGGAGCAGGGAAAAACCCCUCUGCCCUACGGAGAAGGCAGACAGAGGGGAAAGGCGGUAGCAGCCUCCAUGAUGCUGCCGGCUCUCCCGCCGUGGGAGCCGGCUACGCCAAGCAGGAAAAAAACCCUCUGCCCCAAGGAGCAGGAAGCCCCAAGGAGUAUAGGGGGGCCGGCAGCGGGGGCCUUCUGGGUGCCACCGGCUCUCGCUCCGCGGGAGCCGCCGAGCAGGGAAAAAACCCUCUGCCCAUGGCGGCCUCUGCGUUUUCUGCCCCCCAUGGGUCGCCGCUCCGCAGCCACCCCCACGCACAUCAUACCUGCAGGCUAAGCAGCCUCUGGCUAGUAAAACUGUCCCAGUUUUGUGAUGGUGGCCCCUGGACCAGGACAAAUUGAAUGGAAGUAUCUGCACAUCUGGCCGCAAAUACAACUGAACUCCCAACGACAGAGAUUUGUCCCCCUAGAGAAAAUGGCUGCUCUUGAAGGUGGACUUCAUCAAGUCAAUCCAUGCAUCUCAAUCAAUUCAUAAUACUCUUGUGCUGAGAAUGUCCUUGGAGGGGUGUGUAUGAGAGGCCUGGGACAAUAAAAUGUAUGUUGCAGCCUCAGCCUCAAUUUGCUUCAGGUUCAUAAAGAAAAGGGGAGAGAGGGUUUGAUGAUUUUUCUACUUUAAAAUACUAAUAGCAGAGCAUAGGAGCUGAUUUCAAAUAGCAAAACCAAGUGGUAAUUGAAAAGUUGGAUCUCUUCUCUUUUGCCUUUAUGACUUUGAGGCAAACUGAGGCUGCAUGACUCUGUAGUUUGCAUUUAAUGGAUGUACCAUGAUGUGUAAAUCUUUUUUUCUAGACAAUUCCAGCCUUUUGUGUGUCUGUAUAUGACAGUUUUUUAAAAAGAUGGAUGUACUUGAAGCACAUGUUUGAUUCUUGUAGUACAGUUAAUUACUACAUUAUUGACAUCACUGACUAUUUAGACUAUAGGUGAGGGUAACUGGAAAACCAAAGCAUGCAAAGUGAUUUGACAAGCAUUCAUUCUUGCGUUCAAAAAACAACUUUCAUUUAUUCAUUUAAAUGGAAACAAAUGGAUGCUCUUCAGUUCUUUGUGAGCUGUUAUUAAACUCAACUCAAGAAUACCAGUGAUACGGCUGUGGACAAAACAAGCUAACUCAUAUACUAUAAAAGCAUUAACUGUGGAUCCUGGUAUAAGUAGCACUGCUUACUCUUAUUCUGAGGGAUAAGUUGUUAUGAUGUGCUGAUAUGAGAUGACAUUAUGAUGUGCUGAUAAUGAUAUGACAUUAUGAUAUGACAUGAUAUGACAUAAUGAUAUGACAUUAUGAUGUGCUGAUAAAAUUUUCAAUUAAUAUCUUGUAAAUCACCUUGCAGUACUCAUGCCAGACUUUGGUCUUUCAUUAAAAUCAGAUCUCUUGCCACAUGUCAGAAGUAACUGGCUAAAUUUCAAAAAAAGAAAGAAAGAAAGAAAAGAAAAGAGAGAAAAAAAAACAGACAAUCCUGGACAGCCCAACAAUGAAACAUUAUGUCAGCAAACAUCAAGCUUCUAUUUAACCUCUAGCUAACAUUUGACAGGAACCAAAUUUUGAGUUGAAUAAAGUCUAAAUGGCCAGUGACUUUGGAUCGGUGAGUGCAGCAACUGUCACUGGCAUAGCCUUUGCAUUAUUAUCCAUUUGAACUGCUCAUCCCAUCUGUCUGUGGCAUGUUUCAUGUACAAGUGUGAGAACUGGGACAUAUAUUGUUGUGAACCGCCCUGAGUCCUUUGGGGGAGGGUGGUAUAUAAGUUUAAAAAUAAAUAAAUAAAUAAAUAAAUAAAUAAAUAAGGAAAGAUUGAAAUGGGCCCACUGCCCUUCUCUAAGCCUUGAGAAAUGCAGCUCCAGUCCACUUAGGUGAGGAUUCUUGGCAUCAGGGCAUCAGGCUGGAGUUUAGAUAGAAAGUCCUGAGGACUUUGGGCCCCCAGAUACCCAUUCCUAAUCUAUAGUUGUGCUAACUGUUUACUAACAAUGCUUUAUAACAUACUAAGAGUGAUCCUGUUUUCUGAACUAGGAGCCAUUUCAAUGAACUGUACUGAAAGUUUCUCCAUCUCUCAUAUUUGUCAUUCUGGCUAGGAUUCCUUUGUGGGGAAAGGCAAUCAGCACAUUAUGCCAUGUUGUAUUUUCAUUAUCUCAUAUUUCUAAACUCUUAUUUGUGCUAGACAAAUUGUGGAAUUCAGCAGAACAUGAUUACACAUCUCCCUUUAAUUAGAUAAGUUGUAUUUUUUCUAGAUGACGUGGUUUCAAUUCUCUUUUCCUUAUGAAUAACAAUAAGUGAUUUCCAUGUUAAUCGGAGUUACCCAACUCCUCCUGUUCCUGCACCAUUCUGUGAUUUAUGUCUAACAAAACCAUAAAAAUGAUUAUCUGUAGAUUACAUCAGCAUUUGUAUGCUCUCAUUGUUUUAGGUUAUUUCUGAAUCUUUUUAAAUAGAUUCUAGGUGGUGGUUCGGCAUAUGAAAUAGUGAUGUUUUUAGUUCUUUUUCCCCUAUGUUUAACUGUGUAGUGGCAGCAUGUUAGUAAACUCUAGAGGGUGAUCUUCAUUUCAAGAGAAUUGUUAAUGUGUAAAAUUCAGGAGGCUCCUGCAUCAUUGCUAUUAAAUUUGAUAGGUUUUGCCUGAAAUAACAAAGCCAUAACAGACUUCUACAAUCUUUUUGAGAGAUCUCAUUGGUACAUAGUUGAGACCUAUCCCAGGGAAGACCUGAGGACUACAUUCCCUCAGCAAGUCCAGGCCAUAGUGUCUUAGUCCAAAUAUUCAUUGUAUCUCUGAGAACAUCUUUCCUGAAAAACUUCCAAAGAGAGUUGUGAUCAGCCGGUAACAACUUACUGGUAGUACCUCACCCCCAAAGUAUCCAGCUGAUUGUUGAGUUUCACUUAUGUUGUAAAAGGGUGAGAUCAACAAAUACAUUAAAAUAUAUACAAAAACGGAAUACAUGUAUUCUUCUGGAAAAGUCGGAUUUAUUCAAUUGGUGGUUACUAUCACUAUCACAGUGUACAACAAUGGUACCUAAAUUAAAGCCUAUUAUGCAUGGAAUGCUUGGUACUCUUAGCUGUGCAGUGGUUCUUUAGUGUGGUUGUAAAGAACCUCGAAGGACCCGAAAUUAAGCAACUUUGAAAAGUUCUUUAUUUCAUAAACUUCAGGAGUCGCAAUACACAGAAUGCAGAUUCUGACCUUCCCCGAAUCAGGGUGCCUCUUU